ACGCUGGCGGCGUGCCUAACACAUGCAAGUCGAACGGAGUUCCUGUGAAUGAAGCUUCGGCAGAUUUCGCUUGAACUUAGUGGCGGACGGGUGAGUAACGCGUGAGGAACCUGCCUUCCAGAGGGGGACAACAGUUGGAAACGACUGCUAAUACCGCAUAAUGCAGCGUGGUCGCAUGACCGUGCUGCCAAAGAUUUAUCGGCAAAGGAUGGGCCUGCGUCUGAUUAGCUAGUUGGUGAGGUAACGGCUCACCAAGGCGACGAUCAGUAGCCGACCUGAGAGGGUGAUCGGCCACAUUGGAACUGAGACACGGUCCAAACUCCUACGGGAGGCAGCAGUGGGGAAUAUUGCACAAUGGGCGAAAGCCUGAUGCAGCAACGCCGCGUGAGCGAAGAAGGCCUUCGGGUUGUAAAGCUCUGUCCUUGGGGAAGAUAAUGACGGUACCCUUGGAGGAAGCCCCGGCUAACUACGUG
rnacentral:rRNA from 1 species